CCUUUGAUGAUGCCAUAAAAAUGUGGAGAGAAUGAUCUGAGGGAAGAGUCAUCUGGGGGAUGCUGUUCUUACAUCCAAGAACGACAAAGUAGUAGGAUGGAGCAAUUUCUGGGAUGUUCUGGGCUUCGCGGAGGGAAAGAAGCGUGAGGACCUUAUGGACCUUGCCAGGUUUCUUCUAAGCAAUUCAUCCAAAAAAUAGAAAGGUUUCUUCUAAGUAGUUGAAGUCCUUGCAGUGUGCUGGUUGGGCUGCUGGAUGAAGUAUCUUCCUAUCUAUCAUUUCUCUUUUCAUGUUCUAAAUAGUUAUUCUAUCUUUCAGAAAUUUUCCCAAAGCUGUUUACAUAACCGUAACCUGCUUUCUUUAGGAAAAUAGGAGAGUAUAAGGCAGGAAAGACCAGCAUAGAGAAGAGUCUGAAAGAAAAGAGAGUGAAACAGGGAGAGGCAAGGAGGAGAAUAGAAAGAGAUAGGGAGAUAGGGAGAAUAGAAAGAGAUAGAGACUGUCUUCCUAUUCUCUUGAUUUUUUUGACAGGAUGGCUAAUCUACCUUUUCUCUUAACAGUUUUGUGCAAGGAUCUGCUGGUAAACAAUGCUGGAAGUAAAACAGAGAUGUUUAUAUGGUUCAAAGAUAAAAGGACCCCUCAGCAUUGUUUUACAGAUAACAAUAUAUGGUGAAAGUAGCUAUUGUCAAAUAGAACAUGAUUUAUAAAACAAAGACAAGAUUUACGGUCUAAUUGUUAAAGUAGCUGUGAAGAUUUUGCUGCGUAGAGAAAGAACAAACAAAAAACACCCAAAAGACAUCAAUUUAUCUUUCAUCAUCAGCUAAGUUGAUUUCUUCAUAUAAAAAUGUCAAAGUAAU